ACUUAUUUCUUUUCAUCUAUCAAUCUCAUAACGGUUUCAUUUUAUAGUCUAAAUCUACCACAACCAGUGCACACAGAAUUACUGUUUCCUUGUCCAAUAAAAGUAGUACAUUCUGUUCGGAUAAAUUCUGAUGCUGUGAUUUUCCAUAUAAAUUGAAAAAGUUGGCACACUUUGAGCAAAAGGAUUAUCGGGGUUAGUCGCAUCCCGGCAGACAUAAUCUCAGCCCCCGUACGUCGUAUGAACAAGUUAAAUUUAUCCUUUACAAGUUCAUGUUUCUCCUUGAGCUUGUUAUGUACGUGUGCCUGCCUGCCUACCUACGUACGUACGGACAGGACGACGGCCAUACUUUGUUUGUUCUUACCUUCUCCCAUGUCCAGCAGCAAAAGGGAAAGGAGUGAAGAAGUACAGAAAAACCGAAAGCCAGGAUUUGGGGCUGGUUUGGAAUGAGAAAGUGGUCGUGGCUACUCCAAUUUGGUUGCUCCUCACAAGUAGCUCCCAGCACUUUGAAGUUGAAGCACUUCAAACCUCAAGUCAAAGGAAACAGUUUACCUUUCUCCUCCUGCUUUCGUAUUAUACUGCUUUCCCCUGCCCAAAUUGCACUCCCAACAGAUAGUGGUUCGAUUGACACUGUCUUCGGCUUCAUGAAUGAAUGAAUGAAUCUCAACUAAAUUUCAUAAGCUCAUCUGUACUUCAAUCAAACCCACCCACCACCAAGUCCCCUCUACAAGCACGUGUUGGCGGACGGACGGAAUUUUAUUCAAUGAAUUGCCCACUCAAUUUUGAAAUUCACCACAACCAGCACUGGAAAAAGGUGGGAGGGAGAGGAUUAAGUGGAGGGCAAUAAAUCAUUGGAAUAUUUACAAUUGGAUGUCAACCGCACGACUCAUGAUUCAUGCAAUCUAAAUGAAAUGGAGAGAAGUUGGAGACAAUAUCUUUUUCCAUCUUGGUCAUGACUGCUUCAAAUGGAAAAUAAGAAGUGUAAUUUUCUCUGCCUUGGUGUGUAUGAGUAGCAGUUUCGAAUAUGUAAUAUCGACCUCGCCAUCAAUAUUGUACUUGGGUUUUGACUGGUGCCAUUAUCCACGUUAGAAUAUAAUAAAAUAUCUCUAGUAUAGUUUCA